GACGAACGCUGGCGGCGUGCCUAACACAUGCAAGUCGAGCGAUGAAGUUUUCUUCGGAAAACGGAUUAGCGGCGGACGGGUGAGUAACACGUGAGCAACCUGCCUUGUAGAGGGGGAUAGCCUUCCGAAAGGAAGAUUAAUACCGCAUAAUAUGUUUUGAUCGCAUGAUCUUAACAUCAAAGUUUUUCGCUACAAGAUGGGCUCGCGGAGCAUUAGCUAGUUGGUGGUGUAAUGGACCACCAAGGCGACGAUGCUUAGCCGACCUGAGAGGGUGAUCGGCCACAUUGGGACUGAGACACGGCCCAGACUCCUACGGGAGGCAGCAGUGGGGAAUAUUGCGCAAUGGACGAAAGUCUGACGCAGCAACGCCGCGUGAGUGAUGAAGGCCUUCGGGUUGUAAAACUCUGUCUUCAGGGACGAUAAUGACGGUACCUGAGGAGGAAGCCACGGCUAACUACGUGCCAGCCGCCGCCGUAACAC
rnacentral:rRNA from 1 species